UUGGAGCCAUGGCCAUUGCUAUAUAGCACA
rnacentral:piRNA from 1 species